rnacentral:rRNA from 1 species
AGUAGGGCGGGACACGUGGUAUCCUGUCUGAAUAUGGGGGGACCAUCCUCCAAGGCUAAAUACUCCUGACUGACCGAUAGUGAACCAGUACCGUGAGGGAAAGGCGAAAAGAACCCCGGCGAGGGGAGUGAAAAAGAACCUGAAACCGUGUACGUACAAGCAGUGGGAGCACCUUCGGGUGUGACUGCGUACCUUUUGUAUAAUGGGUCAGCGACUUAUAUUCUGUAGCAAGGUUAACCGUAUAGGGGAGCCGCAGGGAAACCGAGUCUUAACUGGGCGUUAAGUUGCAGGGUAUAGACCCGAAACCCGGUGAUCUAGCCAUGGGCAGGUUGAAGGUUGGGUAACACUAACUGGAGGACCGAACCGACUAAUGUUGAAAAAUUAGCGGAUGACUUGUGGCUGGGGGUGAAAGGCCAAUCAAACCGGGAGAUAGCUGGUUCUCCCCGAAAGCUAUUUAGGUAGCGCCUCGUGAAUUCAUCUUCGGGGGUAGAGCACUGUUUCGGCUAGGGGGUCAUCCCGACUUACCAACCCGAUGCAAACUACGAAUACCGAAGAAUGUUAUCACGGGAGACACACGGCGGGUGCUAACGUCCGUCGUGAAGAGGGAAACAACCCAGACCGCCAGCUAAGGUCCCAAAGUCAUGGUUAAGUGGGAAACGAUGUGGGAAGGCACAGACAGCCAGGAUGUUGGCUUAGAAGCAGCCAUCAUUUAAAGAAAGCGUAAUAGCUCACUGGUCGAGUCGGCCUGCGCGGAAGAUGUAACGGGGCUAAACCAUGCACCGAAGCUGCGGCAGCGACACUAUGUGUUGUUGGGUAGGGGAGCGUUCUGUAAGCCUGCGAAGGUGUGCUGUGAGGCAUGCUGGAGGUAUCAGAAGUGCGAAUGCUGACAUAAGUAACGAUAAAGCGGGUGAAAAGCCCGCUCGCCGGAAGACCAAGGGUUCCUGUCCAACGUUAAUCGGGGCAGGGUGAGUCGACCCCUAAGGCGAGGCCGAAAGGCGUAGUCGAUGGGAAACAGGUUAAUAUUCCUGUACUUGGUGUUACUGCGAAGGGGGGACGGAGAAGGCUAUGUUAGCCGGGCGACGGUUGUCCCGGUUUAAGCAUGUAGGCUGAUUGUCCAGGCAAAUCCGGAUAAUCAAGGCUGAGGUGUGAUGACGAGGCACUACGGUGCUGAAGUAACAAAUGCCCUGCUUCCAGGAAAAGCCUCUAAGCAUCAGGUAACAUCAAAUCGUACCCCAAACCGACACAGGUGGUCAGGUAGAGAAUACCAAGGCGCUUGAGAGAACUCGGGUGAAGGAACUAGGCAAAAUGGUGCCGUAACUUCGGGAGAAGGCACGCUGGUGUGUAGGUGAAGUCCCUGCGGAUGGAGCUGAGACCAGUCGAAGAUACCAGCUGGCUGCAACUGUUUAUUAAAAACACAGCACUGUGCAAACACGAAAGUGGACGUAUACGGUGUGACGCCUGCCCGGUGCCGGAAGGUUAAUUGAUGGGGUUAUCCGUAAGGAGAAGCUCUUGAUCGAAGCCCCGGUAAACGGCGGCCGUAACUAUAACGGUCCUAAGGUAGCGAAAUUCCUUGUCGGGUAAGUUCCGACCUGCACGAAUGGCGUAAUGAUGGCCAGGCUGUCUCCACCCGAGACUCAGUGAAAUUGAACUCGCUGUGAAGAUGCAGUGUACCCGCGGCAAGACGGAAAGACCCCGUGAACCUUUACUAUAGCUUGACACUGAACAUUGAGCCUUGAUGUGUAGGAUAGGUGGGAGGCUUUGAAGCGUGGACGCCAGUCUGCGUGGAGCCAACCUUGAAAUACCACCCUUUAAUGUUUGAUGUUCUAACGUUGGCCCCUGACCGGGGUUGCGGACAGUGUCUGGUGGGUAGUUUGACUGGGGCGGUCUCCUCCCAAAGCGUAACGGAGGAGCACGAAGGUUAGCUAAUCCUGGUCGGACAUCAGGAGGUUAGUGCAAUGGCAUAAGCUAGCUUGACUGCGAGCGUGACGGCGCGAGCAGGUGCGAAAGCAGGUCAUAGUGAUCCGGUGGUUCUGA